UAGUUGAUUUAGUGGGUCUAAUAAAGACCUUCUAAAUCAACUGCUGAUCACAUGCUCAUCAACUCUGGUAUGCCACUGGCUCACAAAGCAUAAUGGGAAUCAACGAGAGAGAUCGUGGUAACUCCAUCUCAGAUUCCCAACUGACCGGCACAAGCCUGCAUGGAGGAAUGUGACUACAGAGGGUGGCAGCUGCAAUUGCUUAGCAGGUAGCCAGCCAAGACUGCUAACUACUGCAGGGCUGGACCUCAAGGAGAGGGAAAUAUUGGUCCCCUCCUAACCUGCUUUUGACAUGGGUACCAGACAUCCUCUCUUCCCUGUGAGGAGGAAAAGAUACUGCCAAAACUACUGUGAGCCUUCGUGCUUAUAUGAAGCAUAACUGCAAAAGUCAUGAAGAAUCAACUUGUAAAAGGAAACUCUUGUAAUGAAGUUUAGCGAGAAUGGUUUAAUAAACAAUACAUUCUUUCUUUCCUCUA